rnacentral:lncRNA from 1 species
UAACAUAUUAUGUGGAUUGAGUUAAAUUCGAACGGGCUAAUUAAUGUGGACACACCGCAUGGCAACAGCAUAAAUGUCAGAUAUUUGACAAACCAUAAGCUAUCGAAAAAUAAAUUAGAGUCCGGCUGGGAUACUAUUGAUAGCACCAAGCGUUUGGUAGUAUCAAGUUUUCCGCCGUUAGAUUUAACUCUUUGACUAUUUUUAUCCGUUAAAUUAUACUAUUAAACCAAUAACUUACUCUACCCUAGAGGCCCACAUCAUCUUAACCUUACAUUUUUUCAUCUACGGUGCUAGAUAAUAUAUUCCAGCCUAGUUCAUAUAAAUUAUGUACUUAUUGAUUGAUUUAAUGUAGAAAACUGACUCAUAAACAGUAAUAGUUUUAGGUAU